UUUUUUUUUUUUUUUUGGGAUUGCUUUCUUCCAGCAACUUCUGUUCACCAGGAAACAUUUAACUCGCUCCCCUCAUCCUCUCUUAGUCUGUACAAUAACCCAUCUAAGAUUAUUUUUGUAUAGAAGAACCCAAACGGAAAUGCUAAUCGCCCCCCCAAAUUUAAGAGCCCAACAAGAAAAACAAAAUUACUACUUCCCUUCUAUUGCCCACUUCUCCCUUCACCCCACCAAUCAAUUGAUACCAAAA
rnacentral:lncRNA from 1 species